UACGGAGGGUGCGAGCGUUGUCCGGAAUCACUGGGCGUAAAGGGCGCGUAGGCGGCCUGAUAAGUAGGGGGUGAAAUCCUGCGGCUUAACCGCAGGGCUGCCUUCUAAACUGUCAGGCUAGAGCACAGUAGAGGCAGGUGGAAUUCCCGGUGUAGAGGUGAAAUUCGUAGAUAUCGGGAGGAACACCAGUGGCGAAGGCGGCGAUCUGGGAAGAUACUGACGCUGAGGUGCGAAAGCGUGGGGAGCAAACAGG
rnacentral:rRNA from 1 species